AAGAAAAAAAGAAAAAGAAAAAGAAAAUACUUAUUUGCUUUGCUUUUAACCCUAAUUUUGCAUUUUAGGUGCUUGAUUCACUGCAGCAUUUCUGGAAAGGUCCUCAUCACUUUCCUACUCUUCUUCAGCGGUCACAGCUUCAGUCUUUGGAUAGAUUGCCUUUGAAGUCAAUAGGAGAAGCCACGUGUUCAUCAAAAUAUGGAAGUUAUCUUUCUCAUUAACCUUGAGAAGCUUCAUCGAUUACUGGCAAUCCAGUUUGACUUGAGUGGAACCCUGUCACCAAGGUGAUUGUGCAGCUGGUUUUCCAGUGUUUCUAAUACUAAAUUUCUGUGAGCUUUCUGUUCAACUCCUAUUUCUUCUGAUACUGGCUCAGCAAUUGGAUCACCCCUGUGGCCGUUUAAGGACAAGAUGGGUUGGCUGGCUGAGCUCCUGGACGUCACAACUCCUGCUGUGGAGAUAGUUGCUUGUAGCACCUCCAGCGCUACUGUUGCAGCUUCAGAUAUCAUUUGUUUCCAAACAACUAGUCUCAACUUCUUGUUCUCUGGAUAACGUACUUGCCUCGUGGAAGCUACUGCAGCAACAUGAAAGAGAAGGGAGUUAUCACAGCUGAAGCCUGUGGCCCUAUUUGACUCCUGCUGGAGGAAAGCUAAACAUGCAAAUCAGGCAGCGGCUGAUGAUACAGCAGGGUGCAAUAUACACAGGAAGGAAAACAAAGAGAGAUGAGUCCUGACAGCAGAGAAAUUACAUCUGGCUUCAUCUGAGGGCACAGACCUGGCCCCGGCUGCCCCAAGAUCACUGCACACUGCCAGCCAAGCUGUUCUCAUGCUUAAUUUACAGCCUACAAGGUUCGUGCAUCACCUAAUGAAAAAUCUCGAUGGGAACUUUGCAGGAGAAAGUAGGACAGUUGGCACAUUAUUCACGUUUCAGCAGAGGAGGGGAGAGCUCCUUUUGCCAUGAGAACUGACCUCGUGGUGGUUUGACCUGCACAGAGGGCUGUCAUUGGGGCUUUGUGAUCAUUCCAAUUUGGAUUGCAAUGUUAUGUGGAGAGUAACACUGGACUCUAUUAUCUUGCAUUGCCCUUUCCAUAACUCAGUGCCAUGUUUAUAUCACAGCAGCAGUUUGAGGAAUUUGAGAAAUUUCUGUGUAGGUAGUCCAGCCUUGAUGCUGAGAGCUGCUUGCUGUCAGCAGCACCAUUCACUCUGCAUACAUCUCGUGUGGGAAAAGCAAUAAGAAUUACCUCAAGAUUACCCAUGACCUCAAUUAGAAUUUGUUUUUUUUCCUAUGAGUUGUAUUAUUGGUAGCUGAAAUGGCUACACUACAAGUGGCCUUUUAUUCACCUGCCUUCAAUGGCCCAGAGGCACCAACCAACACUCCCUCCAAACUGAGAUCUUCAUUCUCACUGACUUCAGGUGAAGCUUCUUUCUCCCCGUGAGUACCCAUCAGUUACAUCUCCAUUCAAGAAGCAGAGCAUCACUACCCAGAUCUGCAGCUGAACGCUACGGUUUUCUUGACAACACCAGUAGUUUUGCACAGUCCACAGUCAGAAGUUCUUAUGGACAGAAUUAUGCUUUAUCCACUUGAGCCUUCAUAGUUUCCAAAAUUUCACAUGGUCUUUUCCAAACUCCAACAUCUUACACAUUUUCCAAGUUCUUUGGAGCAACCUCUCAGGCAGAAGGGUAUUACUAUAUCUGUAGCUAUAGUCCCAGGUAAUUGAAUUCACCUCUUCCUCAACAACUUGGCUCUGAAUCAUGUUCUUUUUAAAUA